AGCGAACGCUGGCGGCAGGCCUAACACAUGCAAGUCGAACGAACCCUUCGGGGUUAGUGGCGGACGGGUGAGUAACACGUGGGAACGUGCCUUUAGGUUCGGAAUAACUCAGGGCAACUUGUGCUAAUACCGCAUGUGCCCUUCGGGGGAAAGAUUUAUCGCCUUUAGAGCGGCCCGCGUCUGAUUAGGUAGUUGGUGAGGUAAUGGCUCACCAAGGCUACGAUCAGUGGCUGGGCUGAGAGGAUGACCAGCCACAUUGGGACUGAGACACGGCCCAAACUCCUACGGGAGGUAGCAGUGGGGAAUCUUGCGCAAUGGGCGAAAGCCUGACGCAGCCAUGCCGCGUGGAUGAUGAAGGUCUUAGGAUUGUAAAAUCCUUUCACCGGUGAAGAUAAUGACUGUAGCCGGAGAAGAAGCCCCGGCUAACUUCGUGCCAGCCGCCGCCGUAAAAC
rnacentral:rRNA from 1 species